GACGGAGGGUGCAAACGUUGUUCGGAUUUACUGGGCGUAAAGCGCGUGUAGGCGGCUUUGCAAGUCGGAUGUGAAAGCCCACGGCUCAACCGUGGAAGUGCAUCCGAAACUGCAUGGCUGGAGUCUCGGAGAGGAAGGUGGAAUUCUUGGUGUAGAGGUGAAAUUCGUAGAUAUCAAGCAGAACACCUGCGGCGAAGGCGGCCUUCUGGACGAUGACUGACGCUGAGACGCGAAAGCGUGGGGAGCAAACAGG
rnacentral:rRNA from 1 species